GUCAGUUAAGGCGUGAGGUUUCGGCUGCUUUAAAAAGCGUUGCUCUCAUGGCAUGAUGUUGUGUAUUUGAGUUUAGUGCUUAGCACUACCGUUGAAGCUUUGCCCUAGACUAAACCUAGUAUACUAAUAGCCUCGAUCCCACGCCCAUCUGUCUCCAAUUGAACGCUAGGUCGCCUACUAGGCCUGGUAUUGAUUGUAUUUGGGCGUGAUCUGGGCGUGGUUUUUUAAUAAAUUGACUCUGGUACAACAAAAAAUGAAUCCUCCAACAGUGGUCUUCAACAACAGCCUCUGGGGCAGUAUACAGCAGGAAAUACUUUCCAGAAGACACUUCUUUGGCAGUGGCAACCAAAUUUUUGUCGAUUCCUUUAUUGCUACUGAGCUACUGAGGAUGGCAGCAGAAACACCUCUAUUGUUAGAGAUGUCAGACCGGAAGUAGUGCGUGGGCGUAUUUUCGUACAGUAAUUCAAUGGUAAAAAACGGGACCAGAAAGUGAGUGAACAAGAAGGGCUUUCCGCAAGCCCUGGAAGAGUCUAGCAAACAACAGCUGUUCCCAGGGGUAAAAAAUAGCGUAGAAUUUGAUUUUUAUAACAGUUUUUUAUGAUUUUAGCAUUUGAUGCUUGUUUUGUGUGUGAUUUUUUCUCAAAGGUGAUCAUCAUUUUGGCAACCAAACAUGAAAAUGAACAAAAACACAAGUGAGCAUGUCUUUCAUCUCUAACUCUCUCCAGAUUAUGCAAAAAGUUGCUACAAUAAGCUUUUAUUUCUUGCGGAAUCACAUAUUGCAUGGAUAGAUGGGUGGAGCUGAGAAUAGAAAUGCAGUAAAAUCAAGCCAAGUGUACCAAUAGCUGUAUUUAUUUCUUAGAAGUUCUUAGAAGUUACUGAAAGUAAUUAUUGAAGCAAUCUGAAAGCCUCUGUUGAAAAGAAACAAGAAAGAUUGGAGAGAAUUCCAGGGACAACAAUGUAAUCUACCAAAACUAUUAAAUUGCAAGAACUGAUUCAAUUUGCACACAAAAAAGACAAGAGUAAUCUAUUGUAUUAAUUAGAAGCUGUCAACAGAGUUGUAUCAUAGAUUUAUAGUUGUAUGGCCUUAAAUCUACAUCACACUAAAAACGAAUUAUUUAGACCAAAUGAAAUUGACAGAAAAAUUGCUUAUAAAGAUCAAGAAACAGAUACAAGCGUAAGGUGGACAUUGAUGAGAGUUCUGAAACAUGAUACAAUAUACUGUACGAAAGAAAAGAUAGCAUGGUUACUUUAAAUCCAAAAGAACUCUCUGAAGCAGGAGACAUCAUACUAUUAUAGGGACAUUAUAAAGAUAUACAUUACAGAAACAUUAUAAACUUCAUAAUAGAUAUCAAAUGGUUACAAUGUUAACUCCUGAGUCCUGAGUGUCCAUUUCAUACUUUUUUAAAAGAGAAUAGACCAAGCGGUUCAGCAGAUAUGCUAACUUUAAGAUCAUUUCCGGUAUUAACAACAAAUUUCAUAAGUCCCGCCCAAGUACAUUAAAAUGCGGUAAAUUUUUGUACGAAUUUUUCCCUGACUAGUGUUCUUCAAAACUCUGUAUCUCUGCAUUCGCUUGACUAAAUCCAGUGCAGUAAAGUUUUUCUGGUUUGCCUAGAGUGUUCAAAAGAGAUAGUAAUACAUAGGAGUUAGAAAUAGCAAAAAUGAAAAUCGGUCUGACAUCGCUACUAUUGUUUAGACUCCUGCCUGGUCAAUUAUGAGUCUCAUGAUGAGAGAUACAAGGGGAGAGACAAUUAACAAGAACAACACUUUUGUCAACAGGAGGAGCCUUGGUCCUACCUAGCUUGUAGUCCAUUAAAAAGGGUAGCAACUGAUAUAGCAGAGAGACUUGCCAUACCCCGUUGGGAACCAGAUAAACACGUCCCUUCCCUCAAACAGGAGCUUGAGAGCCUGGGCCUGUUCUGCCAUGAGAGUGAGGCCAUCUUGCUUCAAACAAACAACGCGUUGCAUGCCAUAGCUAGCUAGCUAUAAAUUGAGAACAUGACACGGAGCUACAUUACUGUAAGUUUUACGGGAGUAAAAUGCCUCUACGUACACCUUUAGUAUUACAGAAAAAAAGCAGGAAACAAAAUGUGAAGAAUCUCUGCUUUAGUUUCCGGUUCCUGCCACGCCCAGAUACAAUCAAUACCAGGCCGUAUUUUUCAACUUCGUUCUAUUAAAAAAAAAUCGGCCUGGGACCGAGGCUAGUAUACUAAGUGAUAAGUGAAUAUGAAACCUUGUAACCAAACUUGCUAGCUAUAGCUGCUUAAGCCUCCCACUCAAUUAUGUCUAUGGAUCAACCACUAAUGUAGGUCAGGGGGGUGCUUGAGCACCCUUUUCUACCUGCUAGAUCCGCCCCUGUACAUCUAUCUACUGUACAAAAUUAUAGUCAUGUGGCCAUAAUUGCAAUUGAUUAUAAUUAUACCGUAUAUAGCGGGAAAUUUUCCCGGGUGCAAAUUUUUGCUAUUUGGCUUCAGAGCCCUCAGCAGAAAUGUUUGUGGUUCUAAUAUUUGCGUUUCAAUGCCAGUAAACCACACCCACCAAUAGCUUUGCAUGUGAAAUACCGGUUUUAUUUUCGCAUUAACUACUCUGCCCUCGAAAAACACGAAAUGUUGCACCCCACAAAAAUUUCCCGCUAUACGGUGAGAAUAAUAAUUGCAUUAAUUAAUUAAGGCUGUAUUUGGGGAAUAAAAAAUUAAAGAGGCGGCAAUGUCUUGAGCAUAAUCUACCAACUUAACCCCAGUCACCACUUCAGGGGUGGUUGGACACGAUUCAGCAGUUUUAUCAGCUCCGAUCAUUGAAGCUGAGGAGAAGAUACUUUGCAUGCAUCUUUUGACUGGAUACAAGCCCUGAUUGGCCAAAUUAAUGUCCACCAAUAUACAUGCGAGACGAUAACUAAAUACUAGUAAGGCACUGCAUUAGAGCUGUACAUUCAGAUCGAGAUUACACCAGCUGUGUUGUUCAGCUCUUCAACCUGAGGCUCAAGUCUCAGUCCCAGGCCGUUUUUUCCCUUGAACCCUAACCUACAACCCUAAACCUUCUCUCUUCUGCAUGUGCCUGCUAGCGCUCUAGCUCUGCUUUGCAAGGUUCCCUGAUUCUGCAUGGGGAUUGCUUCACUCCGCAAGGACUGUACUCUAUCUACAUUGAACUCAGCUUGUGUCAGUUGCUCUAUAGAGCUAUGUAGUUGACAAAAACAAGGAUCGAUACCUUCUAAGAAUCUUGCGAAAAUUAUUUGGACUGGUAGCAUCUUGGCCUAUAGUUGAUAAGUUAGCUAUGCAUGCAUGGAUCUGUUAGUUAGAAUCAAUCAUAAUAAUUAUGUUCGUGCAUUAAACACACUGUCGUGCAACUGAAGCGGGAAUGUAUUAGUAAAAUUAGCCUCGAUUCCAGGCCACUGAGAAAGGGGCUGGAGUCGAGGCUAUGCUUACAUGUGUAGGGGAAGUGCGGCUAUUAUGGGAUUCAGGAAUAUCCAUAACAGAGAUGAUCAAUAGCAGAUAAAGCAGCAAGGAAUUUAAUAAGCAUUAAUUGCCUGUGACGUCACAUCCGGGGUCCCAUUUCGUCCCCACCCAGCAGCAUUUUGUGCAUACCGUAAUUGAUGUACAUGUAAUUACAGCGCCACCAUAAUUUAAGUGCCACGUCAGCAUCAGCAUAAUUUUUUAGGUCCUAAAAAAGCGCCAACCGUUGCUGGAAUUAUUUUUUCUGGCGCUUAUAAAAAGUCUUGUUUGAGACAUCAAGACAAUCAUCCUGCAUUUUUGACUUCUUUCACUUCUAAACAGUUGUCUAACCCAUAGCUACAGUCACUGAAUGUUGUUCACGAGUCACUCGAUCAGCUCUCAACGAUGCAGCUAGCAAGUGAAACUGAGCUAGACCACGCCCAUUUUCUCUACAAAUUCUAUACUAGCUGUAGAACAUAAGCACCACCAUAAUUUAGGCGCAAUUUUUUGUGUUCUAAAGAUGCGCCACUCAGAAGUGGAAUUAAUUUUUUCUGGCGCUGUAAUUACAUCAAUGCAUCCUCAAAACCUGUCACAGUGUGACUUAGCCUCGAUCCCAGGCCGAGUUUUCUCUUUUAUAACGGUUAGGCGAACAACUGGGCCUGGUACUAGUUGUCUGCGCAUGCGUCAGUCGUUCGUCAGAUUCUGACGAAUGGAUAUUCUCGUUCACUUUCGUGACAUUUAUAUUCGUGUACUAUCGUGUACUAGAAGUCAGUUCCCGUUUUAUCAUUAUUGGAAUCGAUUGGAAUGGCUCUUAGCUGAAGCUUCUCUCUUCUCUGAAGCUUAUUCUGAAGACUGAACAACAAGGGAAGAGGUAUAAAGCUUUGUCAGCUUGUUGUCAGAUAUUUUUGUGUGGGCCCUAUGGCCGGCUAUGCUAUCAAGUCUUGUUCAUGUUUGGCAAGAAUGUAGGUAGACUAUAGUUUCAUCAUUAAUAUGGUGGAUCAAGUGAAGAGUGUGAGCUAGAGAACUUGGUGCUGCCAUCAUCAGCUCGUCGACAAUGACACUAUAACCGAGAAAUUUAAUAUGUAUAGAUCUACACGUAUUUAAAAUGUCUACUUCUCUGUACAGGAGCAAUGGCUAAUAUCCAGCUAUCCCAACAGUGCUCCUCUUGGCUAUACUAACGGACGAGACUGGACAGUUUGAGACACAGGACUGGAGUAUGACCUGCUCAUUCGAGCGUUGCUGGGUAGCUCAGAGACAUCAAGAGAAUCUACGUUUUCUCAAGCAAUGAGUUACGAGUUGGGGCCUAGAAUCAGAGAAGUCCAGCAGCCUGCUAAAUCUUUUUGAAACGUAAUUUGAAGGCAUUCAAUCAUCCUGAAGUUGCCCUGGGUCACUGUAAUUGUGCUGCAGCACAACUGGCAACUCCCCAGGCCUUUGUGAAGCAGCUCCCUAUGUGCAUCUUUUGUGUACUCACUCUGUGCAUUUUCUGUGUACAAAUUUCUAUUAUUGAUUUAUUAAAUAUUUUUGCCGACCACAAA